UGACAAUUCUUUUGGUAUUGCAUCGAGUACUUUCAUGAGAGUAGAAUGAUAACUUCAUCAUCCACCACCUCCUAAAUACUCUUCUGUUGCUGUCAUCUUCUUUCGCUUUUUCAAUUAACUUGUCUUUUUACCAGAGACUGUAACUGUGUCUGUAAACUAGAAGAACAUCCAUGGCUUCCUCUAGUUUCCAAGUGACCUGUUUCUACAAGAUUGUUCUCAGACAAAGCCUUGAAAAAGGAAAUCUUACGAUACCAAAAACGUUCAGUAUGAAAUAUGGUGACGGAGUUCCAAAUCCAGUGUAUCUGAAGCCUCCAGAUGGCACUGCUUGGAAGAUAGAUUGGUCCGAGUAUGAUGGUGCCAUUCUAUUUGAAAAUGGUUGGAAAGAAUUUGCUUCAUAUUACUCUUUGGAUCAUGGCCAUAUGCUGUGGUUUGAGUACAAUGAAACUUCUAACAUUGAAGUAAACAUUUUUGACAUGACUUGCCUUGAAAUAGACUAUCCUUCCUUGGAUCACAUCAGCGAUGACGAUUCGAUUGAGAUCUUGAAUGAACUGCCCCCACGAGGCAACUAUCCUUCCAAGGAUCACAUUGAUGAUGGCAACAAGGUUAAGGUUGAGAAUGAACCGCCACGAAGAGGCCGAGGCCGGCCGAGGAAAACAGAGAAAGCAGCACCAAAGACACCAUCUCCUUGUACAAGCAAAAUGUUCACAAGUUCUGCCAAAACUAAAGAAGUGAAAUGGCGCGCUGAAAUACAAUAUCCUUCCAAGCACCACAUCGAUGAGGACAACAUGGCUAAGCCACGAAGAGGCCGAGGCCGGCCGAGGAAAUCAGAGAAAGCAGCAUCUGCUUGUAGAAGCAAAAUGUUCACAAGUUCUGCCAAAACUAGAGCAGUGAAAUGGUGCCCUGAAAUAGACUAUGCUUCCAAGGACCACAUUAAUGAUGACAACAUGGUUAAGGUUGAGAAUGAACCGCCACGAAGAGGGCGAGGCCGGCCGAGAAAAACAGAGAAAGCAGCAUCUGCCAAAACUAGGUGCCCUGAAAUAGACUAUCCUUCCAAUGACAACAUGGUUAAGGUUGAGAAUGAACCGCCAAGAAGAGGCCGAGGCCGGCCGAGGAAAAAAUUGAAAGCAGCAGCAGAAGUAUCAUCUCCUUCUACAAGUAAAAUAUUGAGUAGUUCUGUCAAAACUGGAGAUGUAGAGAAGGGCCCUGAUAAACAAAACUGGAUGCUGUGUUGCAAGAAUGAAGAAGCUAGUCAAUCUGAAUGAAGAAUGCAGUGUUGCAGUGUUGAAAGCAGCGUACGCAUAUAUUCCAUUUCAUAUGUUGUUCAUACCCUGGGUCGAGUUGUCCGAUCUGGGAUGUUCUACAGACAAAACGACCGACUUCUUCAGGUUAGGAUAACCCGAGCUCUUCUCAAAGAGCUCGGCCAAGUCACAGAAAAACCCAACAAAGGGCCCAAAUAGAGGAACACGUCCCAAAUCCAAGGGCAGCCCAAGCCCGUAGAGAUAAAGGCGGUUCCCUUGAAAAUAAGAUGACCUCACUUGAAGAUAAGAUAACUAACUUAUCUUAUCUAAGAAUGUCAUUCUACGCCAUUAUAAAUACACUGGAGCACCCAAGUAUAACUCAUACUCUGAUUCUACUCAAUACCUGCUUAAUAUCCUUGCUAACUUAAGUAUCGGAGUCCCUUGCAGGUACCCCCACCCUUCGGGGACGAAGGAUCAGCACCAUCACCAAGUCGGACACAACACCCCUGACCAACACAAAAGAUCUCGUCUGAGAUCGACCUACAAUUUCAGGGGCGGAGCUACAUACUGGGA